GAUGAACGCUGGCGGCGUGCCUAAUACAUGCAAGUCGAACGAAACUUCUUUAUCACCGAGUGCUUGCACUCACCGAUAAAGAGUUGAGUGGCGAACGGGUGAGUAACACGUGGGCAACCUGCCCAAAAGAGGGGGAUAACACUUGGAAACAGGUGCUAAUACCGCAUAACCAUAGUUACCGCAUGGUAACUAUGUAAAAGGUGGCUAUACUACCGCUUUUGGAUGGGCCCGCGGCGCAUUAGCUAGUUGGUAGGGUAAAGGCUUACCAAGGCAAUGAUGCGUAGCCGAAGUGAGAGGUUGAUCGGCCACAUUGGGACUGAGACACGGCCCAAACUCCUACGGGAGGCAGCAGUAGGGAAUCUUCCACAAAGGGCGAAAGCCUGAUGGAGCAACGCCGCGUGGGUGAAGAAGGUCUUCGGAUCGUAAAACCCUGUUGUUAGAGAAGAAAGUGCGUGAGAGUAACUGUUCACGUUUCGACGGUAUCUAACCAGAAAGCCACGGCUAACUACGUG
rnacentral:rRNA from 1 species